rnacentral:tRNA from 1 species
CGGUGAGUGGCGUAGUUUGGUAGCGCAAUACGUUCGGGACGUAUAGGUCGGAGGUUCAAAUCCUUCCUCACCGA